rfam:Apaloderma vittatum contig55926, whole genome shotgun sequence.
GGCCGGUUAGCUCAGUCAGUUGAGUGUAGCGCUAACAACGCUAAGGCCACGGGUUCGAUCCCUGUUCGGUCC